CAGCAGUCGUACAAUUUGUCCUGACGUGUCCUGACAUGCCCCGAUAUGCAUGCUUUCCUUUGUUAACGCUUUGUAUUUUGUCUUUUUUUGACAAGGAACAUUGUCGCCUUGACGAUAGUGCUGCCCUGAGUUCUGCGCGCGUUGAUUUGUUGAGUGCCUAGUCCUCUUAUUAGCCGUUGAUGGAGUUACAUGUUAGGAUGUUUUGUUCUUUUGGAAGUCUCAUUUAGUAAGACUUUGGAAUUCCUACGAUCAGUUUUCAUGCAUGGUGCUCUUCUGCAAUAGUUUCCUAUGCAAUCGUUAUAGAAGAAUAAAGGAAAUAAUCUUGGGAUAGUGAUUCAAUAAAUAAUAGGUCCCCUGUCUACAGCGCACGCGUCCUUGAGCCACGCAGGUGCAUGAUGACGUCAUACCGUGGCUUCACUGCAGAUUGACCAAAGGAGCAUUAGUGGAAAAAACAGUGUAGCCCUGAGACAAUAGGAUGGUGUCUGGACCAAUGAGAACGGCCAGCAGGGGGCGCAGGAAUGCUCUUUUCACUUAGCCUCACGACCAAUGAGCGACGAGAGAAGAGGGCGCAGGAAUGCUCUUCUCUCUUAGCCUCUCGCAGGUGGCGGUAGGAGCGCGCGCAUGCGUAGCACCCGUAGAGUGGCGCUUACGUCAGUCCACCUCUGGCUCUCGUUGGGAGAAGACGUGCGGUCGUUCGCUCCGUCGUCACUUGAUCCCUGGCUGUCGACGAGAGCAGUCGCAUCGGUCUGCGCUCCUACUGUGAGCUGUCCUAACUUGCCCAGACAUGCCGUGAUGACGUCACAGCUGACGUCACAGGAUGUCCGGAACUGGUGGUCAUAGCUGCGAUGCUUUGCAACCUGCCUCUGUGCUCCGUCGCCCAGCGACGGUCAGCGGCCUUUCCGGACCGCUUUCUUCAAGAUGGCGCCGUUGAUCUUCAAUUAAACUCCUUCUCUCCACUCUA